rnacentral:rRNA from 1 species
AUUGAACGCUGGCGGCAAGCCUAACACAUGCAAGUCGAACGAGUGGCGGACGGGUGAGUAAUGUCUGGGAAACUGCCUGCUGGAGGGGGAUAACUACUGGAAACGGUAGCUAAUACCGCAUACCAUCGGAUGUGCCCAGAUGGGAUUAGCUAGUAGGUGGGGUAAAGGCUCACCUAGGCGACGAUCCCUAGCUGGUCUGAGAGGAUGACCAGCCAGACUGGAACUGAGACACGGUCCAGACUCCUACGGGAGGACGCAUUGGGGAAUAGUGCACAAUGGGCGCAAGCCUGAUGCAGCCAUGCCGCUAGUAUGAAGAAGGCCUUCGGGUUGUAAAGUAAUUUCAGCGGGGAGGCGUUACCCGCAGAAGAAGCACCGGCUAACUCCGUGCCAGCAGCCGCGGUAAUUC